GUUAGAUAUUAAUUCACAUCAGCACACAAGGAGAAACAGCACCAAGGAAUUAAAGAAUAUAGUCCUGGAGCCAGCCCACAAGUCAUUCCUUUUUGCAUUCCCGAGGAGCAGCAGGCAGCAUGAAUGGCAAACCAAACUCAGCCAUUCUCCCCGUGUCUGAAUGCUGGAGAUCUUAAUAUCUCUGCUCUGACGAUCAAAACACCAUUUGCUAUUUCAUACAGAUCUUUCUUCUUGGAAAAAGCUUUCGGUAAUUAAAGGAAGAGGCGUUAUCUGGGUUGAAAGCCGGAGCCUGGGCGCGCUGUCGGGCGCGAUGAGGCAGUCAGGGGGAAGCUGGCAGGAGCUGCUUUGCAGGGUGUUGUCAUGGGAACAGAGCAAGUAGGGCAUUCGCUGCUCCGCAUCCUCCUCCCAGAAUCGAUGCUUUUCGCAGCGCCGGCAGAGCUCUCCGGCUGUCUCAGCAGAGAUCGGACCUGAAUGAAACGCAAAGGCCAGAAUCUCGCUUUGUGUGAAAGUGGUGUCACUCCUGAUUUGAGUGGAAGACUUUGGUGCACGUUUUAGCUGCCUGUGAAUCUGGCAUCCGUAAUGGUCAGUGGCAGCACACAAAGGGUCGAGCUUGGUCAGUGAGUGCAUCACCGUGGUGGGCAAGCUCAGAAUAGAAAGUAUUGCUAUAGCAUCAGUGUUUGUGGUCAUCUGAAGUGUUGGAGUCACCUUGCACAAUGCUGUCUUUGAAUGCAGCUUACUUCCUCUGUGCAGAGAUCAAAGACCACGAGGCCAGAAUAGCAGCUAGACCAGAACUGAGCCACUGGGGUUUUGGCCCCAAACAGAAAUUUGUGAGACAAAACUGUGCUGUUUGUUUGAAGGGAUGCAAUACUAGAGACAGAACUUCUUCAGACGGAUGCUGAUGACCAAUCUGCUGAAAGGGGAAGAAUGGAGUAAUCGUCUGGAAUAAGUAACCCUUAGCUCCUGCAGCACCAAAAGCCUGCAGCUCACAAGAUCCUAUUUCAUUUUCUUGGUGUUCCUGGCUUUGAGGAAGCUCCAAGACUGGGUUUGAAGGUCCCAAAGGCUGUUCCAGCCACCUAAAUAAAAGCACAUUUAUUACCUGUGUAUCA
rnacentral:lncRNA from 1 species